rnacentral:rRNA from 2 species
ACGCUGGCGGCGUGCCUAAUACAUGCAAGUCGAACGAGUUCUCGUUGAUGAUCGGUGCUUGCACCGAGAUUCAACAUGGAACGAGUGGCGGACGGGUGAGUAACACGUGGGUAACCUGCCCUUAAGUGGGGGAUAACAUUUGGAAACAGAUGCUAAUACCGCAUAGAUCCAAGAACCGCAUGGUUCUUGGCUGAAAGAUGGCGUAAGCUAUCGCUUUUGGAUGGACCCGCGGCGUAUUAGCUAGUUGGUGAGGUAAUGGCUCACCAAGGCGAUGAUACGUAGCCGAACUGAGAGGUUGAUCGGCCACAUUGGGACUGAGACACGGCCCAAACUCCUACGGGAGGCAGCAGUAGGGAAUCUUCCACAAUGGACGCAAGUCUGAUGGAGCAACGCCGCGUGAGUGAAGAAGGCUUUCGGGUCGUAAAACUCUGUUGUUGGAGAAGAAUGGUCGGCAGAGUAACUGUUGUCGGCGUGACGGUAUCCAACCAGAAAGCCACGGCUAACUACGUGCCAGCAGCCGCGGUAAUACGUAGGUGGCAAGCGUUAUCCGGAUUUAUUGGGCGUAAAGCGAGCGCAGGCGGUUUUUUAAGUCUGAUGUGAAAGCCCUCGGCUUAACCGAGGAAGCGCAUCGGAAACUGGGAAACUUGAGUGCAGAAGAGGACAGUGGAACUCCAUGUGUAGCGGUGAAAUGCGUAGAUAUAUGGAAGAACACCAGUGGCGAAGGCGGCUGUCUGGUCUGUAACUGACGCUGAGGCUCGAAAGCAUGGGUAGCGAACAGGAUUAGAUACCCUGGUAGUCCAUGCCGUAAACGAUGAAUGCUAGGUGUUGGAGGGUUUCCGCCCUUCAGUGCCGCAGCUAACGCAUUAAGCAUUCCGCCUGGGGAGUACGACCGCAAGGUUGAAACUCAAAGGAAUUGACGGGGGCCCGCACAAGCGGUGGAGCAUGUGGUUUAAUUCGAAGCAACGCGAAGAACCUUACCAGGUCUUGACAUCUUUUGAUCACCUGAGAGAUCAGGUUUCCCCUUCGGGGGCAAAAUGACAGGUGGUGCAUGGUUGUCGUCAGCUCGUGUCGUGAGAUGUUGGGUUAAGUCCCGCAACGAGCGCAACCCUUAUGACUAGUUGCCAGCAUUUAGUUGGGCACUCUAGUAAGACUGCCGGUGACAAACCGGAGGAAGGUGGGGAUGACGUCAAAUCAUCAUGCCCCUUAUGACCUGGGCUACACACGUGCUACAAUGGAUGGUACAACGAGUUGCGAGACCGCGAGGUCAAGCUAAUCUCUUAAAGCCAUUCUCAGUUCGGACUGUAGGCUGCAACUCGCCUACACGAAGUCGGAAUCGCUAGUAAUCGCGGAUCAGCACGCCGCGGUGAAUACGUUCCCGGGCCUUGUACACACCGCCCGUCACACCAUGAGAGUUUGUAACACCCGAAGCCGGUGGCGUAACCCUUUUAGGGAGCGAGCCGUCUAAGGUGGGACAAAUGAUUAGGGUGAAGUC